rnacentral:rRNA from 1 species
GUGAGGAAUAUUGGUCAAUGGGCGAGAGCCUGAACCAGCCAAGUCGCGUGAAGGAUGAAGGUUUUAUGAAUUGUAAACUUCUUUUGCAGGGGAAUAAAGUACGGUACGUGUACCGUUUUGUAUGUACUCUGCGAAUAAGGAUCGGCUAACUCCGUGCCAGCAGCCGCGGUAAUACGGAGGAUCCAAGCGUUAUCCGGAUUUAUUGGGGUUAAAGGGUGCGCAGGCGGGUUGAUAAGUCAGCGGUGAAAGUUUGCAGCUUAACUGUAAAAUUGCCAUUCAAACUGUCGAUCUUGAGUGCAAAUGAGGUAAGCGGAAUGUGUUGUGUAGCGGUGAAAUGCUUAGAUAUAACACAGAACACCGAUUGCGAAGGCAGCUUACUGGGAUGCAACUGACGCUCAUGCACGAAAGCGUGGGGAUCAAACAGGAUUAGAAACCCCGGUAGUCC